UGAAAUGCGAUGAAGGUGCAAAGUAGCAUUCUAUUUUCUUUCAGAGAACGGAGGUCACCGGCUGAAAGCCUCCCAAGUUCAGAUAGGAUGACGAAUUUCCCACCGGAGCUGCUUUUUUGAAACUGUUGUCAGGAGUUUGUGACUGUUAACGGCUGUAGGAAAAGACGUGAGUGACGCGUUAAGUAUAUCAGAGUGUCCAUAUGGGAUUUGCAUAUGGAAAUUUGGGUGGUACCGCGGUUUAUUCGUCCCUUGC
rnacentral:ncRNA from 1 species